UACAGAGGUCUCAAGCGUUGUUCGGAUUCAUUGGGCGUAAAGGGUGUGUAGGUGGCGCCGUAAGUCGGGUGUGAAAUUUCGGAGCUUAACUCCGAAACUGCAUUCGAUACUGCGGUGCUUGAGGACUGGAGAGGAGACUGGAAUUCAUGGUGUAGCAGUGAAAUGCGUAGAUAUGCGGAGGAACACCGAUGGCGAAGGCAAUCCCCUGGGCCCGCACUGACGCUCAUGCACGAAAGCGUGGGGAGCAAACAGG
rnacentral:rRNA from 1 species